GACGGGGGGGGCAAGUGUUCUUCGGAAUGACUGGGCGUCAAGGGCACGUAGGCGGUGAAUCGGGUUGAAAGUGAAAGUCGCCAAAAAGUGGCGGAAUGCUCUCGAAACCAAUUCACUUGAGUGGGACAGAGGAGAGUGGAAUUUCGUGUGUAGGGGUGAAAUCCGUAGAUCUACGAAGGAAGGCCAAAAGCGAAGGCAGCUCUCUGGGUCCCUAGCCGACGCUGGGGUGCGAAAGCAUGGGGAGCGAACAGG
rnacentral:rRNA from 1 species